CCUGCACCUCGCGUGAGUGCGAUGGAGGGACGGAGAAGGUUAGGCAGGCCGGGCGUUGGUUGUCCCGGUGAGAGGGUUGAGGCGGUGCUCUUUGGCAAAUCCGGGAGCGCAACGUUGAGACCAAGGACCAGUCCAAUUGGACGAGGCUGCUGAUAUCACGCUUCCAGGAAAAGCUCCUAAGCUUCAGCUCACGAAGACCGUACCGUAAACCGACACAGGUGGGUAGGAUGAGAAUUCUCAGGCGCUUGAGAGAACUCGGGUGAAGGAACUAGGCAAAAUAGCACCGUAACUUCGGGAGAAGGUGCGCCUCUUCUGGUUAAUAGCUGGGGGAGGCCGAAGUAACCAGGCCGCUGCGACUGUUUAUCAAAAACACAGCACUCUGCAAACACGAAAGUGGACGUAUAGGGUGUGACGCCUGCCCGGUGCCGGAAGGUUAAUUGAUGGGGUCAGCCGCAAGGCGAAGCUCUUGAUCGAAGCCCCGGUAAACGGCGGCCGUAACGAUAACGGUCCUAAGGUAGCGAAAUUCCUUGUCGGGUAAGUUCCGACCUGCACGAAUGGCGUAACGACAGCGGCGCUGUCUCCACCCGAGACUCAGUGAAAUUGAAAUCGCUGUGAAGAUGCAGCGUUCCCGUGGCAAGACGGAAAGACCCCGUGAACCUUUACUAUAGCUUUACAUUGAACGUUGAGUUCGUCUGUGUAGGAUAGGUGGGAGGCUUUGAGGUGUCGGCGCUAGCUGGCAUGGAGCCAUCCUUGAAAUACCACCCUGAUGUGCUUGACGUUCUAACCUGGGCCCGUAAUCCGGGUCGGGGACCAUGUAUGGUGGGUAGUUUGACUGGGGCGGUCUCCUCCCAAAGAGUAACGGAGGAGCUCGAAGGUACGCUCAGCGCGGUCGGACAUCGCGCACUGUGUGCAAAGGCAUAAGCGUGCUUGACUGCAAGAUCGACGGAUCAAGCAGGUAGGAAACUAGGACUUAGUGAUCCGGUGGUUCUGUAUGGAAGGGCCAUCGCUCAACGGAUAAAAGGUACUCCGGGGAUAACAGGCUGAUACCGCCCAAGAGUUCAUAUCGACGGCGGUGUUUGGCACCUCGAUGUCGGCUCAUCACAUCCUGGGGCUGUAGUCGGUCCCAAGGGUAUGGCUGUUCGCCAUUUAAAGUGGUACGCGAGCUGGGUUCAGAACGUCGUGAGACAGUUCGGUCCCUAUCUGCCAUGGGCGUUGGAGAUUUGAGAGGGGCUGCUCCUAGUACGAGAGGACCGGAGUGGACGAACCUCUGGUGUUCCGGUUGUCACGCCAGUGGCAUUGCCGGGUAGCUAUGUUCGGAAGCGAUAACCGCUGAAAGCAUCUAAGCGGGAAGCGCGCCUCAAGAUGAGAUCUCCCGGGACACAAGUCCCCUGAAGGAACCAUCAAGACUAGGUGGUUGAUAGGUCAGGUGAGUAAGCGCAGCAAUGCGUUGAGCUAACUGAUACUAAUGAUCCGUGUGGCUUGACCAA
rnacentral:rRNA from 1 species